AAAGUCGUAACAAGGUUUCCGUAGGUGAACCUGCGGAAGGAUCAUUACAGAGUUCAUGCCCUUCGGGGUAGACCUCCCACCCUAUGUAUACAUUGCCUUUGUUGCUUUGGCGGACCGCCUUCGGGCCACCGGCUCCGGCUGGUGCGCGUCCGCCAGAGAACCCAAACCCUGUUUUACAGUGUCGUCCGAGUACUAUAUAAUAGUUAAAACUUUCAACAACGGAUCUCUUGGUUCUG
rnacentral:misc_RNA from 1 species